UACGUAGGGUGCGAGCGUUAAUCGGAAUUACUGGGCGUAAAGCGUGCGCAGGCGGUUCGUUAAGUCAGAUGUGAAAGCCCCGGGCUCAACCUGGGAACUGCAUUUGAAACUGGCGGGCUUGAGUGUGGCAGAGGGGGUGGAAUUCCGCGUGUAGCAGUGAAAUGCGUAGAGAUGCGGAGGAACACCGAUGGCGAAGGCAGCCCCUGGGCCAACACUGACGCUCAGGCACGAAAGCGUGGGGAGCAAACAGG
rnacentral:rRNA from 1 species